rnacentral:rRNA from 1 species
GCUCAAAUUUAAAAUCUGGCAGGCUACGCUUGUCCGAAUUGUAAUCUCGAGAAGUGUUUUCCGCGUUGGCCUGUGUACAAGUCCCUUGGAACAGGGCGUCAUAGAGGGUGAGAAUCCCGUCCUUGACACAGACACCCAAUGCUUUGUGAUACACUCUCAAUGAGUCGAGUUGUUUGGGAAUGCAGCUCAAAAUGGGUGGUAAAUUCCAUCUAAAGCUAAAUACUGGCGAGAGACCGAUAGCGAACAAGUACCGUGAGGGAAAGAUGAAAAGCACUUUGGAAAGAGAGUCAAACAGUACGUGAAAUUGUUGAAAGGGAAACGAUUGAAGUCAGUCGUGCCUGCCUAGAUUCAGCCUUCUGGUGUAUUUCUAGGUCGGCAGGUCAGCAUCAGUUUGGGGGGGUUAACAAGGGAGCUGGGAAUGUGGCAACCUCGGUUGUGUUAUAGCCCAGUUUCGCAUUGAUCUCGCUGGACUGAGGAACGCAGUGCGCCCGCAAGGGUUGGUCUUCGGACACAUUCGCACUUAGGAUGCUGGCAUAAUGGCUUUAAAC